rnacentral:rRNA from 1 species
UACAGAGGGUGCAAGCGUUGCUCGGAAUCAUUGGGCGUAAAGGGCAAGUAGGUGGUCUUGUUUGUCUGGGGUGAAAUCCUUGAGCUUAACUCAAGAAGUGCCCUAGAAACGGCAAGACUCGAGUCCUGGAGAGGGUGGUGGAAUUCCCGGUGUAGCGGUGAAAUGCGUAGAGAUGGGGGAGAACACUCGUGGCGAAGGCGGCCAGCUAGACCAGUUCUGACACUGAGGCGCGACAGCGUGGGGAGCAAACAGG